rnacentral:rRNA from 1 species
GGUUAAGCGACUAAGCGUACACGGUGGAUGCCCUGGCAGUCAGAGGCGAUGAAGGACGUGCUAAUCUGCGAUAAGCGUCGGUAAGGUGAUAUGAACCGUUAUAACCGGCGAUUUCCGAAUGGGGAAACCCAGUGUGUUUCGACACACUAUCAUUAACUGAAUCCAUAGGUUAAUGAGGCGAACCGGGGAACUGAAACAUCUAAGUACCCCGAGGAAAAGAAAUCAACCGAGAUUCCCCAGUAGCGGCGAGCGAACGGGGAGCAGCCCAGAGCCUGAAUCAGUGUGUGUGUUAGUGGAAGCGUCUGGAAAGGCGCGCGAUACAGGGUGACAGCCCGUACACAAAAAUGCACAUACUGUGAGCUCGAUGAGUAGGGCGGGACACGUGGUAUCCUGUCUGAAUAUGGGGGACCAUCCUCCAAGGCUAAAUACUCCUGACUGACCGAUAGUGAACCAGUACCGUGAGGGAAAGGCGAAAAGAACCCCGGCGAGGGGAGUGAAAAAGAACCUGAAACCGUGUACGUACAAGCAGUGGGAGCCUCUUAAUGGGGUGACUGCGUACCUUUUGUAUAAUGGGUCAGCGACUUAUAUUCUGUAGCAAGGUUAACCGAAUAGGGGAGCCGAAGGGAAACCGAGUCUUAACUGGGCGUUAAGUUGCAGGGUAUAGACCCGAAACCCGGUGAUCUAGCCAUGGGCAGGUUGAAGGUUGGGUAACACUAACUGGAGGACCGAACCGACUAAUGUUGAAAAAUUAGCGGAUGACUUGUGGCUGGGGUGAAAGGCCAAUCAAACCGGGAGAUAGCUGGUUCUCCCCGAAAGCUAUUUAGGUAGCGCCUCGUGAAUUCAUCUCCGGGGUAGAGCACUGUUUCGGCAAGGGGUCAUCCCGACUUACCAACCCGAUGCAAACUGCGAAUACCGGAGAAUGUUAUCACGGGAGACACACGGCGGGUGCUAACGUCCGUCGUGAAGAGGGAAACAACCCAGACCGCCAGCUAAGGUCCCAAAGUCAUGGUUAAGUGGGAAACGAUGUGGGAAGGCCCAGACAGCCAGGAUGUUGGCUUAGAAGCAGCCAUCAUUUAAAGAAAGCGUAAUAGCUCACUGGUCGAGUCGGCCUGCGCGGAAGAUGUAACGGGGCUAAACCAUGCACCGAAGCUGCGGCAGCGACACUAUGUGUUGUUGGGUAGGGGAGCGUUCUGUAAGCCUGUGAAGGUGUACUGUGAGGUAUGCUGGAGGUAUCAGAAGUGCGAAUGCUGACAUAAGUAACGAUAAAGCGGGUGAAAAGCCCGCUCGCCGGAAGACCAAGGGUUCCUGUCCAACGUUAAUCGGGGCAGGGUGAGUCGACCCCUAAGGCGAGGCCGAAAGGCGUAGUCGAUGGGAAACAGGUUAAUAUUCCUGUACUUGGUGUUACUGCGAAGGGGGACGGAGAAGGCUAUGUUGGCCGGGCGACGGUUGUCCCGGUUUAAGCGUGUAGGCUGGUUUUCCAGGCAAAUCCGGAAAAUCAAGGCUGAGGCGUGAUGACGAGGCACUACGGUGCUGAAGCAACAAAUGCCCUGCUUCCAGGAAAAGCCUCUAAGCAUCAGGUAACAUCAAAUCGUACCCCAAACCGACACAGGUGGUCAGGUAGAGAAUACCAAGGCGCUUGAGAGAACUCGGGUGAAGGAACUAGGCAAAAUGGUGCCGUAACUUCGGGAGAAGGCACGCUGAUAUGUAGGUGAAGUCCCUUGCGGAUGGAGCUGAAAUCAGUCGAAGAUACCAGCUGGCUGCAACUGUUUAUUAAAAACACAGCACUGUGCAAACACGAAAGUGGACGUAUACGGUGUGACGCCUGCCCGGUGCCGGAAGGUUAAUUGAUGGGGUUAGCGGUAACGCGAAGCUCUUGAUCGAAGCCCCGGUAAACGGCGGCCGUAACUAUAACGGUCCUAAGGUAGCGAAAUUCCUUGUCGGGUAAGUUCCGACCUGCACGAAUGGCGUAAUGAUGGCCAGGCUGUCUCCACCCGAGACUCAGUGAAAUUGAACUCGCUGUGAAGAUGCAGUGUACCCGCGGCAAGACGGAAAGACCCCGUGAACCUUUACUAUAGCUUGACACUGAACAUUGAGCCUUGAUGUGUAGGAUAGGUGGGAGGCUUUGAAGUGUGGACGCCAGUCUGCAUGGAGCCGGCCUUGAAAUACCACCCUUUAAUGUUUGAUGUUCUAACGUUGGCCCCUGAUCGGGGUUGCGGACAGUGUCUGGUGGGUAGUUUGACUGGGGCGGUCUCCUCCUAAAGAGUAACGGAGGAGCACGAAGGUUGGCUAAUCCUGGUCGGACAUCAGGAGGUUAGUGCAAUGGCAUAAGCCAGCUUGACUGCGAGCGUGACGGCGCGAGCAGGUGCGAAAGCAGGUCAUAGUGAUCCGGUGGUUCUGAAUGGAAGGGCCAUCGCUCAACGGAUAAAAGGUACUCCGGGGAUAACAGGCUGAUACCGCCCAAGAGUUCAUAUCGACGGCGGUGUUUGGCACCUCGAUGUCGGCUCAUCACAUCCUGGGGCUGAAGUAGGUCCCAAGGGUAUGGCUGUUCGCCAUUUAAAGUGGUACGCGAGCUGGGUUUAGAACGUCGUGAGACAGUUCGGUCCCUAUCUGCCGUGGGCGCUGGAGAACUGAGGGGGCUGCUCCUAGUACGAGAGGACCGGAGUGGACGCAUCACUGGUGUUCGGGUUGUCAUGCCAAUGGCACUGCCCGGUAGCUAAAUGCGGAAGAGAUAAGUGCUGAAAGCAUCUAAGCACGAAACUUGCCCCGAGAUGAGUUCUCCCUGACUCCUUGAGAGUCCUGAAGGAACGUUGAAGACGACGACGUUGAUAGGCCGGGUGUGUAAGCGCAGCGAUGCGUUGAGCUAACCGGUACUAAUGAACCGUGAGGCUUAACCUU